AUUAAAACGAUGACAGGGACAAGUAAGUCAUGAGGACUCUCUUCAGAAAGCCGGUGGGUGAUGUGAACCGGUGGGAACUCUUUACCGAAUGGACCCUUGAGUGCUGAUUUGAACAGGUGCAGUCUGAUCUUAGACUAUCCUUAGUAGAAUCGGACGUAUCCUCCACGUUACGGAGAAAUGAAGGCAUUUCUUCCACUAGAGGAAUGGAGAGAUGCGAAUAAGGGUGGCACCACGGUCUCACGUCCCUUGC
rnacentral:ncRNA from 1 species